rfam:Homo sapiens chromosome 5, GRCh38 reference primary assembly.
GCCGGGUGUGGUGGCGGAAGCCUGUAAUCACAGCUACUCGGGAGGCUGAGGCAGAGAAUUGCUUGAACCCGGGGGAGGCGGUGGUUGCAGUGAGCCGAGAUCUCACCAGUGUACUCUCCAGUCUGGGCGAUGGAGUCUUGCUCUGUUGCCCAGGCUGGAGUGCAGUGGCAUGAUCUCAGCUCACUGCAACCACCGCCUCCCGGGUUCAAGCAAUUCUCUGCCUCAG